rnacentral:rRNA from 1 species
GACGAAGGAUGCAAGCGUUAUCCGGAUUCAUUGGGUUUAAAGGGAGCGUAGGCGGCCCUGUAAGUCAGUGGUGAAAUCUCGCAGCUUAACUGCGAAAUUGCCAUUGAUACUGCAGGGCUUGAGUACAGUUGCUGUGGGCGGAAUAUGACAUGUAGUGGUGAAAUACAUAGAGAUGUCAUAGAACACCGAUUGCGAAGGCAGCUCACAAAAACUGUAACUGACGCUGAGGCUCGAAAGUGCGGGGAUCAAACAGG